AGAGGAAUAGCUGGGUCAAAUGGUGGUUCUGUCCCCAGAUUUCCAAGGAAUCUCCACGCUGCUUUUCAUAUUGGCUGCACCAAUUUGCAGUCCCACCAGCAGU
rnacentral:pre_miRNA from 1 species